rnacentral:rRNA from 1 species
CCCUUAGAUGUUCUGGGCCGCACGCGCGCUACACUGAUGCAUUCAACGAGUCUAAAACCUGCUCUGAUAGGGGUGGGUAAUCUUUUGAAUGUGCAUCGUGAUUGGGAUAGAUGAUUGCAAUUUUUCAUCUUCAACGAGGAAUGCCUAGUAAACGCAAGUCAUCAGCUUGCAUUGAUUACGUCCCUGCCCUUUGUACACACCGCCCGUCGCUCCUACCGAUUGAAUGAUCCGAUGAAUAUCAUGGAUUGAGGAUGCAAGCAGGUUCGCCUGUCUUCAUCUUCGAGAAGUGAAGUAAAUUUUAUCAUUUAGAGGAAGGAGAAGUCGUAACA